rnacentral:rRNA from 1 species
UACGUAGGGUGCGAGCGUUGUCCGGAAUUAUUGGGCGUAAAGAGCUCGUAGGCGGUCUGUCGCGUCGGUCGUGAAAACUUGGGGCUUAACCCUGAGCUUGCGGUCGAUACGAGCAUGACUGGAGUUCGGUAGGGGAGACUGGAAUUCCUGGUGUAGCGGUGAAAUGCGCAGAUAUCAGGAGGAACACCGGUGGCGAAGGCGGUUCUCUGGGCAUUACCUGACGCUGAGGAGCGAAAGUGUGGGGAGCGAACAGG